CAAUAGCGUAUAUUAAAGUUGUUGCGGUUAAAAGCUCGUAGUUGGAUUUCUGUCGAGGACAGCCGGUCCACACUUUGUGUGAGUAUCUGGUUUGGCCUUGGCAUCCUCUUGAAAAACAGCUCUGCGCUUGAUUGCGUGGACUGGAGUUCAAGACUUUUACUUUGAGGAAAUUAGAGUGUUCACGGCAGGCAAACGCCUUGAAUAUAUUAGCAUGGAAUAAUAAUAUAGGACCUUUGUUCUAUUUUGUUGGUUUCUAGAGCGAAGGUAAUGAUUAAUAGGGAUAAUUGGGGGCAUUCGUAUUAACGCGUCAGAGGUGGAAUUCUUGGAUUGCGUUACGACGAACUACUGCGAAAGCAUUUGCCAAGGAUGUUUUCAUUGAUCAAGAACGAAAGUUAGGGGAUCGAAGACGAUCAGAUACCAU
rnacentral:rRNA from 1 species